GCUGAUGUGGCUCAGUGGUUGAGUGCUUGCUGAGCAUGCAUGAGGCACUGGGUUCAAUCCUCAGCACCACA
rnacentral:tRNA from 1 species